GGAUUAGGCAUGCAAGUCGAACGAGAAAGGUUCCUUCGGGGACCGAGUAAAGUGGCGAACGGGUGAGUAAUGCAUGGAUAACCUGCCUCCGAGAGGGGGAUAACUUCUCGAAAGGGGAGCUAAUACCCCAUAAAGUGGUUGCUUUCAGGAGUAAUCACCAAAGAUAGCCUCUGAUGCAAGCUUUCGCUCGGAGAGGGGUUCAUGUCCUAUUAGUUAGUUGGUGAGGUAAAGGCUCACCAAGGCGAUGAUGGGUAGCCGACCUGAGAGGGUGACCGGCCACACUGGGACUGAGACACCGCCCAGACUCCUACGGGAGGCUGCAGUCGAGAAUCUUCCGCAAUGUGCGCAAGCGUGACGGAGCGACGCCGCGUGGGUGAUGAAGGCUUUCGGGUUGUAAAGCCCUGUCACCUGCUAUGAAAGGCGGGCGGUGAAUAGCUGUCCCGUCUGACCUCAGCAGGGGAGGAAGCACCGGCUAAAUACGUGCCAGCAGCCGCGGUAAUACGUAUGGUGCAAACGUUGUUCGGAAUCACUGGGCAUAAAGAGCUCGUAGGCGGUCAGGUAAGUCUGCAUGUGAAAUCCCUCGGCUCAACCGAGGAAUUGCAUCGGAAACUGCCCGACUGGAGUGCAGGAGGGGAAAGUGGAAUUCCUGGUGGAGCGGUGAAAUGCGUAGAUAUCAGGAGGAACGCCGGUGGCGAAAGCGACUUUCUGGCCUGUAACUGACGCUGAGGAGCGAAAGCCAGGGGAGCGAACGGGAUUAGAUACCCCGGUAGUCCUGGCCCUAAACGAUGGGCACUAAGUAGAGGGGUUUU
rnacentral:rRNA from 1 species